GAUGAACGCUAGCGGCAGGCUUAAUACAUGCAAGUCGAGGGGCAGCACGGUUAGCAAUAACUGGUGGCGACCGGCGCACGGGUGCGUAACACGUAUACAAUCUACCUUAAACAGGGGGAUAGCCUUUCGAAAGAGAGAUUAAUACCCCGUAAUAAAUUGAACGGCAUCGUUUGAUUUUGAAAGCUCCGGCGGUUUGAGAUGAGUAUGCGUCUGAUUAGCUAGUUGGUGAGGUAACGGCUCACCAAGGCGACGAUCAGUAGGGGAUCUGAGAGGACUAACCCCCCACACUGGUACUGAGACACGGACCAGACUCCUACGGGAGGCAGCAGUAAGGAAUAUUGGUCAAUGGAGGCAACUCUGAACCAGCCACGCCGCGUGCAGGAUGACGGCCCUAUGGGUUGUAAACUGCUUUUAUACAAGAGAAAACCCUGGUACGUGUACCAGGUUGAUAGUAUUGUAAGAAUAAGCAUCGGCUAACUUCGUGCCAGCAGCCGCGGUAAU
rnacentral:rRNA from 1 species